ACAUUUAUUCAGUAAUUGUGAAACCCUUCGUCAUCCAAACGCACAACCACAUCUUCAUCAUCAUCUUUUGCUUACAAAUUGUGUUGGAUUCCUCCCAAAUCCUCUACAUAAGGUUCCGAUUGAGAAUUCCAGAGGUGUAAUCGGUGUUUAAAGGGACGGAUUGAAGCUGAAGGUGUUGUCAUCAGAAUUAGACUUGGCUCGUCCUCUUCAUUAUUUGACAUCUGAAAGUGCGACAAGAGAUCCAGAACUGGAAUGGUUGAGUCAUAUGGUUAGGCAGUUGCAAAAUAGACCCAGAUCAAGAAAUGAUUUGUGUAUGAGGUUAAUUCACAAAUUUGUGUGUUAAUUCACAAAUGACUUGUGGCGGAUUUGGGUGCACCGAGGAAACAAGUGAACAACCCACAAAUUAUUUUUGCAAAACGACUCUACAGACUUCAAAAUUACAAAUUUCGCGCAGCGAUGUCACAGAUUAGGGUGUCACAUUCUUAAAAGGUCACUCAAGUUUUGAUGUUUGAACCGCACAUAUUUUCUUUUCCGUUCUAAUGUUUUGUGUAUUUCUUUUUGUUUUUGAAGCUUACACAAGCUUUCAUUACUAAAUAUGGAACAAUGCCCUAAAACUGCAGCAUGUUUGGAUUCACUUUCAGGUUAACUAUAUAAAUAUUAAUUUAUUUAUCUGUGUUUAAGUCACUAUUGUUGAUGAGACCUUGUUUGGAUGAACUGAAAAGCUUUUUCUUUGAAUGAACACUCCAAGGUUAGGGUUUAUUCUUUGUUAUUGUUUCGAUUGUUACCGUUUUAGGUCUUAUUUGGUUUGAAAUUUGGAAUAUAUUCAGUUUAUAGUGCACCCGAUUGAUUAAGGGAAACCUGUUAUUUUAAAUUGUCUAGAUUACAGUUUAGGUUUUCAUGACCAGCAAACGUAUAUGGCUCAUUUGAAAUUUUGCAAUUAAAAUUUGUAGUAUUUGUUAAAUGGUAAUUAUAUAUAGACAUUAGAUUAGUCAUCUAAAAUCGUAUUUUCAUUUUUAUUAGUUGUUCAAAACAAAAGUUCACGUGAUUGACUUUGUGAAACUCUUUUUCAUUUAAAUUUCCGUACAUUAAAUUUUUUCUCAAAUAAAUUUUUCGUUCAUCAACAGGAGAAGACAGAUAUGUUGUUUUAUUAUCUAGAUAGCAGCUCUUCUACCCUCUUUCAAUUGCAGGUUCUGGUUGAUUAACUUACAGGACAUCUUGAGGAUAAAAAGCACAUAUGCAAAGCUUGGUUGUACUCAAGGAUGGUUUGCGGCAUCUAUCUUCCCACCUUCAUCAAAGCUAUUGAUUAAGCAAUUGUAGGGCUGGAUACCUUGGGUGAGGAGUUUUACAACAAUAGCACCUUGACCACGCAACUCCUUUGUGACAAUCUCACUUUGUGGACCUUUGAUAUGCAGCAGGAUGGGGCUAAUGAAAUUAAGAAAGCACUUGGUGCAAAGCAAAAUGAGGGUCUACAGCAACAACAGUGAGGCACCUCAUUCUUCUUAUCUUUGUUUCGGAGAAUUUGGCACUUAUUUAUCCAUCUUUAUUUCUUGAGCUUGUAAAUUUAGUUUCAUGUCAUUUUUGAAUGAUUAGUAAUUGUUUACUUUUGGUAACUGAUAUUUUUUUUAUUCGGUUUUUGUUUCGA